GAACUGGAUUGCAAAUCAAAAGGUCCAAAGUACUGAAAUUGUUGGUCAUCCUCUGUGUUGCCACGGUCUUCACCCUGCUGUUAUUAGGUCUCAUCUCAAUAACAUACAUUUCUAUACAGCUAAGCCUGAUGAGCGAUGCCUUGUUGGCUGACAUUUAUGUCUUUGAGCGUGAGAACUUUAAGAAUUGUAAAACCACAUGAAUUUGACAAAUGUCCUUUUAACCGUCAGCUCAUAGUGAAGUACACUGAGCCACCCUGAGCUAUAAUAUCAAAAUAGAAUAGAAGCUGCUACCUUUGUCAAGAGUGGCUGGAUCUGAGUGCAUACUUGUCAAUGGAAAAUUGUACUUAGUAGUCAGUAUAAUCUUUUAAUGAUAUAAGUUUCCAUAUAUGCUUCGAGGUGUAUAAUCGAUUGUGUAGUGAUAGGAUGUGUGAUCUGUAGAAGGCUGCAAAGACUUUUAUGUGCAUUCCAGGGUGUUCUGGCAUUCAAACUCACAUCCUGGGAGCAUGGGAAAAGGGCAUACCUUCUCUUAUUGUGUUAUGAUAGGAUAAACGUAUCUAUGUCUGUUUUACUCUAAGUGCAUUUUGUUUAGAUGAACUGCUGGACUUCCAGACCAGCAGGUUUAGGGAAGUCAUUUAUGGGGUCACACUCUGACCCCCCCCAGCUUUCUUGAUGAGGAAGAGCAGCUGUGCUGUGAUGUCAGCUUCAGCUGCCCAGCAUGCACACCUGAAAUGUUGGCGGUUUCAGUUGAUGGGAACAGAAAGCUAUAUCACUUUCAGCAAAACGAAAGGCAGGGUAACGACAUGGUGAUAAAUGAGUGUGUGGGCCAUCUGCUGAGGACCAAGAGCUCAGGACACUCAGACGGGGGCGUCGCAGCAGGAGUCACCGUGCUCCACAAUCCUCUGCUGUUGUGAGAUGUCACACUCCUGCCUGCACAUACAAACCACAGUGAAGUCAAAGUUCCACCUGCACCUCCACCUGUUCUUGCAACAGCAACACUGAUAGAGUCCCAUGGAGGCUAAGAUUGGCACUGAGGCUGGCCAGCAGAAGGUGAGGGCCUGGGGUCCUGGACUGGAAGGAGGCGUUGUUGGUUUCUCUCAGACCAAGAUUGAAUGUGAUGACAAGGGUGAUG